GUACUAUAUAUAAGAUUAAGACCCUUUCAGUGGAGGAAAUAUAUCAUACAUUCAAGUGAUUCAACUCCGCAACCACUUGCACUGAUCAGAAACAAAUUGACAGAAUGGUUUCGGCUUCUUUCUCAGUAGCUUGUAUUGUUCUAAUGCCUUUUCUACUUCUGAUCAGUGCUACUCCCUCCUAUGCUUUUACCAUAAACAAGGAUAUUUGCUCCAACACCAAAGUCUUGAGUCGCUCUUUCUGUUCGCAAUUUCUGGGUUCUAAUCCAGUUGUGAUCAAGUCCCCCUUCACAGCCUCGCUGAGGCCACUAUAGAUGUCGCAUCUUCUAGCGCUACAGAAACCAGCCAGCAGAUAAUCAAGUGGCAAAACCAAACAAACAAUCCUGAACUGAAGAAUGCAAUUAGUCAGUGUCCGACUCCGUACAAUGAGGCCAUUGCUGAUCUCAAGGAAG
rnacentral:lncRNA from 1 species